UACGUAGGGCGCAAGCGUUGUCCGGAAUUAUUGGGCGUAAAGAGCUCGUAGGCGGCUCGUUGCGUCGGCUGUGAAAACCCGCAGCUCAACUGUGGGCUUGCAGCCGAUACGGGCGGGCUGGAGUUCGGUAGGGGAGACUGGAAUUCCUGGUGUAGCGGUGAAAUGCGCAGAUAUCAGGAGGAACACCGGUGGCGAAGGCGGGUCUCUGGGCAACAACUGACGCUGAGGAGCGAAAGCGUGGGGAGCGAACAGG
rnacentral:rRNA from 1 species